rnacentral:rRNA from 1 species
GUUGACCUCGGAUCAGGUAGGGAUACCCGCUGAACUUAAGCAUAUCAAUAAGCGGAGGAAAAGAAACCAACAGGGAUUGCCCUAGUAACGGCGAGUGAAGCGGCAACAGCUCAAAUUUGAAAUCUGGCGCAAGCCCGAGUUGUAAUUUGUAGAGGAUGCUUCUGGGCAGCGGCUAGUCUAAGUCCUUUGGAACCGGGCGUCACAGAAGGUGAGAAUCCCGUAUGUGAUUAGCAUGCACCCGUCACGUAGCUCCUUCGACGAGUCGAGUUGUUUGGGAAUGCAGCUCUAAAUGGGAGGGAAAUUCCUUGUAAAGCUAAAUACCGGCCAGAGACCGAUAGCGCACAAGUAGAGUGAUCGAAAGAUGAAAAGCACUUUGAAAAGAGAGUUAAAAAGCACGUGAAAUUGUUGAAAGGGAAGCGCAUACAACCAGACUUGUCGGCGGUGUUCCGCCGGUCUUCUGACCGGUCUACUCGCCGCCGGCAGGCCAGCAUCGUUUGGGCGCGCCAGAUAAAGGUUUGGGGCGGCGGUUCGCCGUUGCCCCUUACACAAUACGGCGCCGCCCGAGCGAGGUCCGCGCUUCGGCAAGGAUGCUGGCGUAAUGGUUGCGUGCGGCCCGUCUUGAAACACGGACCAAAGAGUCUAACAUCUAUGCGAGUGUUCGGGUGUCAAACCCCUACGCGUAAUGAAAGUGAACGGAGGUGGGAACGCAAGUGCACCAUCGACCGAUCCUGAUGUCUUCGGAUGGAUUUGAGUAAGAGCAUAGCUGUUGGGACCCGAAAGAUGGUGAACUAUGCCUGAAUAGGGUGAAGCCAGAGGAAACUCUGGUGGAGGCUCGCAGCGGUUCUGACGUGCAAAUCGAUCGUCAAAUUUGGGUAUAGGGGCGAAAGACUAAUCGAACCAUCUAGUAGCUGGUUCCUGCCGAAGUUUCCCUCAGGAUAGCCGCCACGCCUCCAGUUUUAUGACGUAAAGCGAAUGAUUAGAGGCCGUGGGGCUGAAACAGCCUUAACCUAUUCUCAAAUCUUUUGAAUAUGUAAGAAGUCCGUGUUACUUAGUUGGACGUGGACAUUUGAAUGAUCGUUACCAGUGGGCCAUUUUUGGUAAGCAGAACUGGCGAUGCGGGAUGAACCGAACGCGAGGUUAAGGUGCCGGAAUACACGCUCAUCAGACACCACUAAAGGUGUUAGUUCAUCUAGACAGCAGGACGGUGGCCAUGGAAGUCGGAAUCCGCUAAGGAGUGUGUAACAACUCACCUGCCGAAUGAACUAGCCCUGAAAAUGGAUGGCGCUCAAGCGUGUUACCCAUACCUCGCCGUCGGGGUAGAAACGAUGCCCCGACGAGUAGGCAGGCGUGGAGGUCCCGUGACGAAGUCUUGGGGUACCCCG